UACGUAGGCAGCGAGCGUUGUUCGGAAUUACUGGGCGUAAAGAGUGUGUAGGCGGUGCUCCCAGUCUGUUGUGAAAUCUCCCGGCUUAACUGGGAGGGUGCAGCGGAAACUAGAGUGCUAGAGGGUGGGAGAGGUAAGCGGAAUUCCUGGUGUAGCGGUGAAAUGCGUAGAUAUCAGGAGGAACACCAGUGGCGAAGGCGAGUCCCUGGACGAUACCUGACACUGAGGCACGAAAGCCAAGGGAGCAAACAGG
rnacentral:rRNA from 1 species